rnacentral:lncRNA from 10 species
GAUCCAGAAACUACCCCGGCAGGGAGUGGGGGAGCAGCGGAUAUUCCGGGGUAGGAACGGCCAUCGCAACGCUGACAGAGGUUGUUUUUUAAGAAGCAAAACUGUUGGCGGCGACCUGAGCGCUGGAAGCCGAAGGGGAAGAGGAAGGAGACGCGAAGCCAGGGCGGCCGGCACAAAGGCGGCGGACUCGCGGCGGCAGCGCCUGCCCGGCCGGGAGCACAACCCACGGCCCUACUCCAGCGAAGUCCCGCACCGGCUUCUAGGAAUAAAGUUUACGUUCUCCUGAGGCCGCACCCCCCACCUCCCACCCAGGACGGCACAUCUCCGUGUCCUCCUCCCCCAAACUCCACUCGGGACCCCGAGAACCACCCCAGCCUUCCGGCCACCACAACAAAGAGCCGCACCGACCGGCGAGGAUAAACAGCGGCGGAGGGCGAGAGGGCGGCGGGGCGAGCGCCUCCACGCAGCAACUCCGGAGUCCCCCGCUUGCCCGAGCGCAGUUUCUCCGCUGCUGUUUCCACCGGCUUUGUAACACUGGGAAUUUACAUCCUCACCCGCACCCCUCACGCCCGAGGAUUUUAAACUCACCUUUACUCUCGAACUGAGAGUUGCGGUAGAUGGGAUUUUUGCCUUUUCCCCAGAUGGUUGAAGGUUAAGAUUUUUGGAAACCCCACCACCUCCUUAUUUCUAUUAUUAUUUCUGCAAGAAAAGUAUAAAGAGAGUUGUAGUGGAGGUGAGAUUUGUGAUCGGGAAAGCCUUCGACUCCCUCCUUCUCCGUCUUCCGCCUCUCUCUCUCUGAUUAGUUCCUAUCCAGCAGCAGAUUGAAGCAGGAGAUGAUUCUUCUCAAGGUUUGUUCAGCAGCUUCACUUCUAGGCGAAGGCUUCAUGAACCAAGUGACGUCAACCAACAAGGCUUCUCUCUCUCUCCUCUCUCUAACAAUGAAAGUUGCUGUUAACAAGGGAAAAAAAGAGAGAGAAUUGUUUAUACCAUUUCAGUUCCAAUAAUAAAUGACCUAUCAGCUCCUAAAGGAGCCAAGGGAGGGGGUUGCUUCUUCUUUCCAAGAAUACUGUAGCUUUGAGUUUGCACCGUUCCUUGUCCCAGGAAAAAGUUAAGAAACUUAAAAUGUUUUGUUUUGCUUUUAAAGAAGACAGGACAGAAAACGGGAUUUAAAACUUAGUUUUUAAAAAAACAAAAGCUACAGAGUAGGGAGCAUAGGUCAACCAUCUCCACCUAAAUUUUUUUUGUUCCUAAACUCAGAAUUCUACAACCCAACUAAAUUAAUAUGCCAAGAUUUUGCGGAUGUUAAAACUCAAAAAAAGCAGUAUGCAAGACGGUCCCGGGGUAAAAUUCUACUGCCUUUCCACGGACAAGUUAAACUGGCUGUAAUGUUUAUGCACUAAGUUAAAAUAAAAUUUAAAUAAAAGACGU